rnacentral:rRNA from 1 species
UACGUAGGGUCCGAGCGUUGUCCGGAAUUACUGGGCGUAAAGAGCGUGUAGGCGGCCAGGUAGGUCCGCUGUGAAAACUCGAGGCUCAACCUCGAGAUGUCGGCGGAAACCAUCUGGCUAGAGUCCGGAAGAGGCAACUGGAAUUCCCAGUGUAGCGGUGAAAUGCGUAGAUAUUGGGAAGAACACCUGAGGCGAAGGCGGGUUGCUGGGCUGACACUGACGCUGAGGCGCGAAAGCCAGGGGAGCGAACGGG